rnacentral:lncRNA from 1 species
AUCCCCGACCUCACCCCCCUCCAAUACUUCUACGAGCUCGACGUCAGCAACAACAACAUGUCCGGCUCCUUCCCCGGCAACGUCCUCCCCCUCGCCAACCUCACCUUCCUCGACCUCCGCUUCAACCUCUUCGCCGGCACCGUGCCUUCCUCCAUCUUCAAUAUCGCCCUCGACGUCCUUUUCCUCAACAACAACAACUUCAACCAACCCCUGCCUGCCAACCUCGGCUAUACGACGGUGGCCUAUUUAACCUUGGCCAACAAUGGCUUCACCGGCCCCAUCCCGAAAUCCAUAUCCAAGGCCGGGAGCACUCUUCUCGAAG